GGUGGGGCCUCACGUGCGGCUGAGGCGCUGUGAUUGCUCGGUCUCAAAGUAAACGCUCUGACGCCCUGUGG